CGAGAAUCAAUCCAACCGAUGUCGCACGAUCUCUUUUGGGCCGAUCCAUUCCGCCGCAUCUUCUGGACCCCAACCGCCGUCCUCCGCUCGCCGAGGCCCUCCUCGACUCCGAUGGACUGGAUCGAAACCCCAACAUCUUACAUCCUCCGCUUCAACGUCCCCGGGUUUGGUAAGGAAGACAUCAAAGUGCAGCUAGAGGACGGCAACAUCCUUGAAGUCAGAGGCGAGGCGCGGAAGGAGGAAUCGGUGGCGAAGGAUGGGGAGUUGCGCGUGGCAGAGAGGGGGCCGAUCGCGGGGUUUGAGAGGCGGAUUGCGCUGCCUGAGGAUGUGAAGGUGGAGCAGAUUAAGGCGCAGGUGGAGAACGGGGUGCUUACUGUCGUGGUGCCGAAGGAGCCGCCGCCGGCGAAGAUGAGGCCCAGGACCAUCCCUGUAAUGAGCAAGCUCUGAUGAUUUUUAGAGGGGGACGAUGUAUAUUUUAGUGAUCUCGAAUAAACCGCUGCUUUGUUUGUGUUUCGGUUUGAUGUUUGUUUAUGGUUACAGAAUUGAUAUAAAAAAUAUGGAAACAAG
rnacentral:misc_RNA from 1 species